UCCCUCUUAGCUCAGUGGUAGAGCGCAUCACUAGUAUCGAGCCAAUGGUACGCAAUGAUGAGGUCAGUCGUUCAAGUCGGCUAGAGGGAA